GGAAGUUUUCUCCAAGCUUUUCCCUGAGUUUGAGCUGUAUGUUAAUGCAGACCAGAGAUGUUUUAAUGGAGGGUUGAUGCUUGUGUCCUCAGUGUUUUUGUUUUGCUUAAUGGACUUAACGGAGGAGAGAUGGAGUGGGGAGGAGGGAACACUGGGCUUAAAUUAAACCUCUGUUGGCAGCCGCAGCUUGCCCCAUUUUUAGAGCUGUCAGUUUUUUUUCUUCUGUUGUUGGAGAUCGGGACGCGAGGCCUACCCCUCUCCCCCGUCGCAUGGACGGCCAAACGGUGUACAGGGUGAGACAUCUCCCGAAGAUUCGACCUCGGGGCAGAUUCCAGUACCUGGUUAACUGGAAGGGUUAUGGCCCGGAGGAGAGGUGCUAUGUCUCCGCUAGGGACAUCCUGGACCCAGGCCUCAUCUCGGAAUUCCAACGCCGACACUCCGCUCAACCAGGUGUCGCCCAUCUUCCCCACUUAUCCCCUGGGUAUUUAUACCUGUGAUU